AUCGAACGCUGGCGGCAGGCUUAACACAUGCAAGUCGAGCGGGGUGAUGGUGCUUGCACUAUCACUUAGCGGCGGACGGGUGAGUAAUGCUUAGGAAUCUGCCUAUUAGUGGGGGACAACAUCUCGAAAGGGAUGCUAAUACCGCAUACGUCCUACGGGAGAAAGCAGGGGAUCACUUGUGACCUUGCGCUAAUAGAUGAGUCUAAGUCGGAUUAGCUAGUUGGUGGGGUAAAGGCCUACCAAGGCGACGAUCUGUAGCGGGUCUGAGAGGAUGAUCCGCCACACUGGGACUGAGAAACGGCCCAGACCCCUACGGGAGGCAGCAGUGGGGAAUAUUGGACAAUGGGGUGAACCCUGAUCCAGCCAUGCCGCGUGUGUGAAGAAGGCCUUAUGGUUGUAAAGCACUUUAAGCGAGGAGGAGGCUCUUUUGGUUAAUACCCAAGAUGAGUGGGCGUUACUCGCAGAAUAAGCACCGGCUAACUCUGUGCCAGCCGCCGCCGUAA
rnacentral:rRNA from 1 species